AUGCUCUAUGUACUGCCCAUUAUGAUGUUUAUCACUUCUGGGAGAGGGAUCAGGAUUAUAAUAUUGCUGUCCUGUGUGAUAUCAACUUAUGAUAUGAUAGCAUCACUGUUCAGAUGGUUUUGUUGGGGCAUUUAUUCAGCAUUGCUUUCCUGCCCACAUCUUGGGGAAUUUAUUGAUAAACACACUGAAUCUAUGAGGGAAGCAGGAGGGGAUAUUUUCCCCAGCUCUUUCACCUCCUUUUUCAUGCUGGAUACGCCAGUUUUUGAGAAUUUUGAAUACCCUUGGGACGUGCAAACCAGUUUGGUCUUACUGCUAGGUCUUCUGAAUGUGUUUCAGUUUUUGUUUAGGGUUAAGCAACUAUUUAAAGCUACCACCAAGAGAUCUGCCCCGAGGCUGGAGGGUCAUGGGUGGCAUGGCAUGUGGGAGAACAUGGGCAGGUAUCUAGAGACUUUUUCACCUCCAAUGGUCUGGGAUUUUACCAUCGAACAAUUACAGGACCCUGAUAAAGUGACAGAAUAUUUGAAAGGAAAAUGCUGUGGCUAUUCCAGAGAGGCACAGCUCACUGCAUUGUGCUGGGCCUUGGCCAGUAUCUACCGAGCAUUGCUCGGUGUUGUGCAGCAUCCUCAGGGGGAAGACAUGGAAACCAGGCCGACAGACGCUGUGGCUGCUCCAACCCCUGCAGUAGACACUGUGGCUGCUCCAACCCCUGCAGCAGGUGUUGUGGCUACUCCAACACCUGCAGCAGGCACUGCAACUGAACCAGAAAAUCAACCUGUGCCCAUAUCAGUCGCCCCUAUCCAGAAGAAGAAAUGCAACAAGAAAUCAGUUCGCUUAGUGAGGGAUGACAAUGAACCAGGGUCAUCACGAGAACAAGAAGAAGAGGCAGAACCAGAGAUAAUCACUCAAUCCCUGUCCCUGAGCAAGCUGCGGGACAUGCGGAAAGAUUUCAGCCAACUUUCAGAGAUAAUCACUCAAUCCCUGUCCCUGAGCAAGCUGCGGGACAUGCGGAAAGAUUUCAGCCAACUUUCAGGUGAGCACAUUGUCACCUGGCUGCUCUGGUGCUGGGAUAACGGAGCCAGUAGCUUGGAAUUGGAGGGUAGGGAAGCCAGGCAGCUGGGAUCUCUGUCUAGAGAGGGGGGCAUUGACAAGGCAAUUGGGAAGAAGACACAGGUCCUCAGCCUCUGGAGGCAACUCCUAUCAGGUGUGAGGGAAAGGUACCCCUUCAGUGAAGAUGUUGUAUGCCAUCCGAGCAAGUGGACCACCAUGGAGAGAGGUAUCCAGUACCUGAGAGAACUAGCCAUGCAGGAGAUGAUUUAUUGUGACCUGGAUAAUGCACAGUCACCCACAGAUCCUGAGGAGGUCCAGUGCACAAGGUCCAUGUGGCGGAAGUUUGUACGGAGCGCCCCAUCAUCAUAUGCCAACUCAUUGGCAGUGAUGGAAUGGAGAGGUGAAGAGGGACCAACGGUGGAUGAGGUGGCUGCCUGA
rnacentral:lncRNA from 1 species